AGGGUUAUAGCUCAGUUGGUAGAGUGCUUGCCUGGCAAGCAUGAGGCCCUGGGCUCCAACCCUAGUACCACAA
rnacentral:tRNA from 1 species